rnacentral:rRNA from 1 species
AGGCCGUAAACCCAAGGUUUCCAGGGGAAGGUUCGUCCGCCCUGGGUUAGUCGGGACCUAAGCUGAGGCCGAAAGGCGUAGGUGAUGGACAACAGGUUGAUAUUCCUGUACUACCGAUAACCGUUUGAGAGAAGGGAUGACACAGUAGGAUAAGCUAAGCACACUGUUGGUUAUGUGUGCCCAAGCAUUGAGGCAGUCAAAGUAGGCAAAUCCGCUUUGAUAAUGCUGGGAUGUGAUGGGGAGCGAAAUUUAGUAGCGAAGUAGCUGAUUUCACACUGUCAAGAAAAGUCUCUAUCGAGGUUAAAGGUACCCGUACCGCAAACCGACACAGGUGGGUGAGGAGAGUAUCCUAAGGCCAGCGAGAGAACUGUUGUUAAGGAACUCGGCAAAAUGACCCCGUAACUUAGGGAUAAGGGGUGCCACCAUCAGGUGGCCGCAGAGAAUAGGCCCAAGCGACUGUUUACCAAAAACAUAGGUUUCUGCUAAGUCGCAAGA